rnacentral:lncRNA from 1 species
GUGCUUUAAGCCUACCGUUUCAAGGUUCAUUUAGGAAAGCUCAUUAACUCCUCUUGAAAGGGUGCCAUGGGCCUACCGGUUCAAGUCUCAUCAUUAACCUUCAUGGAAAGGUGCCAUAGGCCUACCGAUUCCAAGGUUCAUUACUAUCAUUAAUUGAAGGGUGCCAUUAGCCUACCGAUUCCAAGGUUCAUUAUUAUCAUUAAUGGAAGGGUGCCAUUAGCCUACCGAUCCAAGGUUCAUUAUAAGCAUGUGUGGAAGGGUGCCAUUAGCCUACCGAUCCAAGGUUCAUUAUAAGCAUGUGUGGAAGGGUGCCAUUAGCCUACCGAUCCAAGGUUCAUUACUUAUCAUUAAUGGAAGGGUGCCAUUAGCCUACCGAUCCAAGGUUCAUUACUUAUCAUUAAUGGAAGGGUGCCAUUAGCCUACCGAUCCAAGGUUCAUUACUUAUCAUUAAUGGAAGGGUGCCAUUAGCCUACCGAUCCAAGGUUCAUUACUUAUCAUUAAUGGAAGGGUGCCAUUAGCCUACCGAUCCAAGGUUCAUUACUUAUCAUUAAUGGAAGGGUGCCAUUAGCCUACCGAUCCAAGGUUCAUUACUUAUCAUUAAUGGAAGGGUGCCAUUAGCCUACCGAUCCAAGGUUCAUUACUUAUCAUUAAUGGAAGGGUGCCAUUAGCCUACCGAUCCAAGGUUCAUUACUUAUCAUUAAUGGAAGGGUGCCAUUAGCCUACCGAUCCAAGGUUCAUUACUUAUCAUUAAUGGAAGGGUGCCAUUAGCCUACCGAUCCAAGGUUCAUUACUUAUCAUUAAUGGAAGGGUGCCAUUAGCCUACCGAUUCCAAGGUUCAUUAUUAUCAUGAUUGGAAGGGUGCUACUAGCCUACCGAUUCGAGGAUUCCACAACCAACAAUAUAAUCAUUUAAACAAGAAAAGGAUGCACAAG